rnacentral:tRNA from 1 species
UGGUGGAGAUCCCGUCGGGAUGGGAUCGCUCGAUUCUCAGUCGAGAGGCCGCGGGUUCGACUCCCGUCACCA